rnacentral:rRNA from 1 species
CGGCAACAGCUCAAAUUUGAAAUCUGGCUCUCGGGCCCGAGUUGUAAUUUGUAGAGGAUACUUUUGAUGCGGUGCCUUCCGAGUUCCCUGGAACGGGACGCCAUAGAGGGUGAGAGCCCC